GAACGGGUGAGUAACACGUGGGUGAUCUGCCCUGCACUUCGGGAUAAGCUUGGGAAACUGGGUCUAAUACCGGAUAGGAGCCAUCUUUAGUGUGGUGGUUGGAAAGUUUUUUCGGUGUAGGAUGAGCUCGCGGCCUAUCAGCUUGUUGGUGGGGUAAUGGCCUACCAAGGCGGCGACGGGUAGCCGGCCUGAGAGGGUGUACGGCCACAUUGGGACUGAGAUACGGCCCAGACUCCUACGGGAGGCAGCAGUGGGGAAUAUUGCACAAUGGGCGCAAGCCUGAUGCAGCGACGCCGCGUGGGGGAUGAAGGCCUUCGGGUUGUAAACUCCUUUCGCUAGGGACGAAGCUUUUUGUGACGGUACCUAGAUAAGAAGCACCGGCUAACUACGUGCCAGCAGCCGCGGUAAUACGUAGGGUGCGAGCGUUGUCCGGAAUUACUGGGCGUAAAGGGCUCGUAGGUGGUUUGUCGCGUCGUCUGUGAAAUUCUGGGGCUUAACUCCGGGCGUGCAGGCGAUACGGGCAUAACUUGAGUGCUGUAGGGGUAACUGGAAUUCCUGGUGUAGCGGUGAAAUGCGCAGAUAUCAGGAGGAACACCGAUGGCGAAGGCAGGUUACUGGGCAGUUACUGACGCUGAGGAGCGAAAGCAUGGGUAGCGAACAGGAUUAGAUACCCUGGUAGUCCAUGCCGUAAACGGUGGGCGCUAGGUGUGAGGGUCUUUCUACGACUUUCGUGCCGUAGCUAACGCAUUAAGCGCCCCGCCUGGGGAGUACGGCCGCAAGGCUAAAACUCAAAGGAAUUGACGGGGGCCCGCACAAGCGGCGGAGCAUGUGGAUUAAAUUCGAUGCACGCGAAGAACCUUACCUGGGCUUG
rnacentral:rRNA from 1 species